AGCUAUCUUUUCAAAUGCUUUCACAAUACCCCUAGUUACUUCUUUAUCUUCAUUUGCAGCCUUUCUUGUUGUGCCACUUGGCGCCGGCAAACUAAGAUACCUUGGGUCAUAGAAUCUAAGAGUAAGAGCAAACCCAAGGCAAUGCAAUAGAAUAGACAUUUUCUCCCUCUUUGAAAGCACAAUCUUUUCUAUUUCUUUAUAAUCUUGAACAUGUUUAUUUUCUUUGAUUAUAUCCCUUAUUUCACC
rnacentral:lncRNA from 1 species